rnacentral:sRNA from 1 species
UAAAAAUAAAGUUCAAGCAACGACUAUGAGCCAUAGGUGGCAAUUUGUAACUUGCACCUCCCUACAAAACAAUACUGAGGGCGCCCGUGAUUGUCAUCGCAUAGCCCGCCUCUCACAUAUCGAAGCUAGAACAAUCCCUCUGGUAGGACGUCUUUUGAUAACCAUACAUUAGGCCCACUUUUUCCUAUAUUGUGUGCUGUGUGCGUUUUGUUAAUGGAAGUUCUACUCUCUUCUUUUUUCCUUACUUGGCUGUUAAGUGUUUCUCUGUGUAACAUCAUCAAAGGAUACCACCAUCACUUGCAGGCCUAUUGUUCAAAAGUUUGGAAGAGUCACACCAUGAAGCCGAAAGUUUUGUUGCUGCUGACUGAUUCUUAACAGAACCAACUACAGCUCAUACUGGAACAACUUGCAAAGACAGUUCUGCAGAAAUAGGUUUCUGUCAAGUAGGAGUUCAGGUAUACCAUGUUAGGCGAUGCAUGAAAUUCUUUGAAAGUGGCAGACGAGAAUGGUUGGAUAACUAGGUCAUGGUAUGAUAUACUCUUUUGUGCAAUUGUCCAUUACUUCAACUGUAAGUUAUAGAGAUUAAGUGAACAAGCUUGAAUUGCUCCAUCCUCUGUCAAUGUUACAACAUAGCAGAGUUUAGAAUCAAGAAGAAACUUGAGCAAGAUUGCACGCCGGAUUUUAAAAUAAAUCGUAAGUACGAAAUUUUUAGUUUAGUCACGUGUGUAUUUGAUGUAUUAUCUAAUCUUAUAAAAUAUAGACGUUACUUCAAAAAUAAAAAAGAUAAUUACACACUAAUCUAG